ACAUACGGCUAUAUCACGUCGAAUGCACCGGUUCUCGUCCGAUCAGCCAAGUUAAGCAACGUCGAGUUUAGUUAGUACUUGGAUGACCGCUUGGGAAGCCUAUAUGCUGUAAGCA
rnacentral:rRNA from 1 species